rnacentral:rRNA from 1 species
UAGGGAAUCUUCCGCAAUGGGCGAAAGCUUGACGGAGCAACGCCGCGUGAGUGAUGAAGGUCUUCGGAUCGUAAAACUCUGUUAUUAGGGAAGAACAAAUGUGUAAGUAACUAUGCACGUCUUGACGGUACCUAAUCAGAAAGCCACGGCUAACUACGUGCCAGCAGCCGCGGUAAUACGUAGGUGGCAAGCGUUAUCCGGAAUUAUUGGGCGUAAAGCGCGCGUAGGCGGUUUUUUAAGUCUGAUGUGAAAGCCCACGGCUCAACCGUGGAGGGUCAUUGGAAACUGGAAAACUUGAGUGCAGAAGAGGAAAGUGGAAUUCCAUGUGUAGCGGUGAAAUGCGCAGAGAUAUGGAGGAACACCAGUGGCGAAGGCGGCUUUCUGGUCUGUAACUGACGCUGAUGUGCGAAAGCGUGGGGAUCAAACAGG